rnacentral:miRNA from 1 species
ACAAAGACCUACAGUGCAGCCACCCAUAAAGUAGAAAGCACUACUAGACAGGUCUGAACGCUGUAGUGUUUCCUACUUUAUGGAUGAGUGUACUGGACGCUACAGGA